rnacentral:piRNA from 1 species
CACCUUGCUGUCCUGUAGCCAUCUGGU